rnacentral:tRNA from 3 species
GAACAUUGUUAUCUAUGGUUGGAUGUAUCGAUUGCAAAUCGAUUUCUUAGGGUUCAAUUCCCUCGGUGUUCU